GAACAGCAAGCCCUGAAGCUGGGAGGCAGGAACCGGUGAGCACAGUUGAGGAACAGCAGGGCCCUGAUAAGUGAUCAAAGACAGCUGACCUCUGCUUUCUCAGCGAUACAGUCUAAGACAGCAGGAAAGGGAACCCUUGAACCAUUACCGUGACUUGGUGGAGGAAAAUUCUCUAUAGGGAUCAAUCAACAAGUUGCUCUAAAAGAGGCAGAAGCACCACUCUGAAAUUCUUUAGUUCCUUAAAAUCCCCAUCCCCCCUCCUUUUUGCACAAGUAGUUCCCUCUGCCUGGAAGACUCUCUCCUUCCUAUCCUAUCUUACCUCUUAAAAUGCCUUUUAGUUUAGCCACUGAUCCUUUACACUUCAGCCCACCAUCACUUCUUGUAAGGCUUCUCUGACUUCUGCCUGUCUUCCCUCCCCGGAAACUUUGGGAGAUGCUGUCGCUCUGUACAACUGCAGCCCCUCAGACUCCCUCUCCCACAGCUCCAGAUAUUGCUAUAGUUGUCUAUUGAGUGGUCUGUCUUCCCUUACAGACAGUGCAGUGGUAAACUCAGGAGUCGUCUUUGCAUUUUACAGCUGUGGCAUCUGAGGCACACUCAGGGCUCAGUUCCUCAUCCACAGAAUGUCUUUCCCCUUUCAGCAAAUGGUAGUUCCAUUCUUCCAUCAAUUGACACCAAAACGUUGGAGGCCUCCUGAACACUUCUCUUUUUCUCCUGCAUGCGUGCAUGCUAAGUCGCUUCAGUCGUGUCCCGACUCUUUGCAACACCAUGGACCCGCCAGGCUCCUCUCUCCAUGGGGAUUCUCCAGGUCUUGGUUGCAGCAUGCGGGACCUCUUAGUUGAGCAACGUGGGAUCAAGUUCCCUGAUCAGAGAUUGAAACCUGGGCUCCCUCACUGGGGAUGCAGAGACUUAGGUUCUAGACCACCAGGGAAGUCCCUGCAGGACCACUUUCAAACAGUCCACAGGAUAGUUCUUGAACCUCAGUGAUCAUCAAAGCUACCCGCAGAGAUUCUUAUUUAAUUGGGAUUUUAAGUAAUUUUGAGUGAGGAUUUAACCCUUAGUUUCCUCAUAUGAAAAACGGGAUUAUAACUAUAAUCCUUCAUAGGGGGUAAGGAUUAAAAUAACCUCUGUGAAGUGUCUCACAGUCAACUUAGGUUCCGUUUGCUUCUCUCAUUUUCUCUACAGUUUAGAGGUUAAAUUCUUACAAAUCAUAUUUCAUGUUCUUUUUUUUAUAUACAAAUUGUUUAUUUUUCAUCAAGAAAGCAUUUCAAAUUACUGUAUUUAUAUUUCAUGUUAUCUUAAAGUUUAGCUUUGAGUUUAUCUCCAGUCCAGAUCUCUGAGUUCCAGAUUUAUUCUCCAAAUAUAUUCUUAGCAUCUUCACUUGGAUAUCUCAUAGAGUCAGCAAACCCAUCAUAGCCAAAGUAACUCAAAAUGAUCUCCUUUAG
ensembl:lncRNA